rnacentral:lncRNA from 1 species
CAUCAUUUGGAGAGGUCCUGAGAUGGGAAAAUAUUUUGCUUUAUUUCCAGAGCAAAAUUAAGCCUUCUAGAAAAGUAGUCUAUGGGUGAUGUUCCCUCUCUUUAAAGUCCUGUUCACUUUGCUGGUAUUGGGGAUACCCCUUGAGCAAGGUGUGGGAGAGAAAAGGUAGACAAGCAGAUGGGAAGGGAACUAAAAUGGAAUUACCACAUGCUGAGCACGUGGAUGGUGCUUUUUCUCAUUAACUCUGAUGUUGGGUUGUGUCCCAUUUACUCAAGAAGCUCAGACAGGGAGAGUGGUCUCAGCCCUAAUCAGACUCGGCCCCCCUUUUUGUAAAAAAAUGCUUUGUAAUGAUUCGAGUAUUCUGAAGUGAAAUCCAUUUUCUACAUUAUUUUUUUAAAAAUCAAGAUGAAGCCUUAACUGUAAUAUAAAAAAUAAAGGGGAAGCAGAUUAUAAAAUAGUCUAUAUUUUUCUGUGCGAAAGUGUUAGAUAUGACUGCCCGAAGACGUAAUAAGAGAGAGGGAAAUAAGCUUCAUCGAAGAAGGAAUAGCACGGCCGGACAAACAGACUGCUGAAUUGGAGAAAUGAGGAAGUGCAGUAUUCCCACAAAUGAGCUGGGCCUUAAAACUGAUGUCAAAAAUAACUCGUCAGUGUGGGGCAGAGGGAAGUAAAUGGUGAGGUAGCUGUCCCGUGGAGCUGUGAUGGGGGUUUAAGUGAAUUAAUACAGGAAAUGUGCUCAAAACAGUUCCGGGAACUUAAACACUGUCUAGGUAUUAAGUAGUAUAUAGCCUUUGUUAGAAGCGGCAUAAGUGGAUUAGGAAAAAUUGCGUAGUCUGAAUGCACGGGGUAAUUAUUCAGUUAUUUGUAGACAGUGUCUUUUUUCCAUUCAUUUGUUCUCUCUUUCCAUUUAUUCAUUCAAUGGGCUUAUGGAAGCACUUUAAAUGGUUUAUACCUCUAGUUGGUUCAGUUCUGUGGGCACGGGCAAUUCUUUGUGUGCCAGACGUUUAAUCUCUCAAACUCCUUCCCCUAAAGCCAGUUAUGCUCCCUGGACAGUGUGACAGCCAUCAAAAAAAAAAAAAACAAAACCAAUUUCCCAACCAACCACUGGGAGGCAGUACUGCUUCAUUGAGAAUACUGGACCAGAUUCUUUGCCCGAGGUCACACACCUGUCUCUUAGUAGAAUUGAGUCUCCAGGGACUCCAAAGUCUUUUCCUCUAAGACAAUAACAAAGAUGAUACUAAAGACAGCAGUGAUGAUAAUUAGCGUUUCUUAAACUGUGCCAGCACUUUGCGGAGUGUUUAGUGCUUAUGCAUACCACCAGCUCACUUAAGUCUCACCGCUUGAGGGAGGUUCUGGUACCUCAUUUUGCAGGUGAAGAAACAGGCUUAAGUCCAAGACUCACGACAAGGGUUUCGUGUAGAAGAGGGAGGUUGUGAGCUAAGAGUCGUAGGAGGGGGCUGGGAUAGAAAGCUGGCUACAGAAGGCAAGCUGUGUGCGUAAAAGUGAAGGCAGGAGACUUCAAGGUUUUAUGUGGACAAGUUUAAGACCCUCUGAAUUUGUUCAGGCUUUAGAAUUGAAGAUUAGUAGAAAGUCAGAGCUGGAGGAAAACUUAGAGGUCAUUGGAGAUGGUGGUUUUCAAACUUGAAAAUGAGCCAAACCUUUUUUGGGAAUGAAAUCUUAUAAAAUAUGUAAAAUUUAAAUGAUAUUACUAUAAAAAGUAAAUUCUAGUAGAUAAUAUUGGCUUAUAAAGAC